GACGAACGCUGGCGGCGUGCCUAAUACAUGCAAGUUGAGCGCUGAAGGUUGGUACUUGUACCGACUGGAUGAGCAGCGAACGGGUGAGUAACGCGUGGGGAAUCUGCCUUUGAGCGGGGGACAACAUUUGGAAACGAAUGCUAAUACCGCAUAAAAACUUUAAACACAAGUUUUAAGUUUGAAAGAUGCAAUUGCAUCACUCAAAGAUGAUCCCGCGUUGUAUUAGCUAGUUGGUGAGGUAAAGGCUCACCAAGGCGAUGAUACAUAGCCGACCUGAGAGGGUGAUCGGCCACAUUGGGACUGAGACACGGCCCAAACUCCUACGGGAGGCAGCAGUAGGGAAUCUUCGGCAAUGGACGAAAGUCUGACCGAGCAACGCCGCGGGAGUGAAGAAGGUUUUCGGAUCGUAAAAAUCUGUUGGUAGAGAAGAACGUUGGGGAGAGUGGAAAGCUCAUCAAGUGACGGUAACUACCCAGAAAGGGACGGCUAACUACGUG
rnacentral:rRNA from 1 species